UACAGGGGCCGGCAUCUGGUGGGGAUGCUCGGGAUGGACGGGCUCGGAGGUCGGCACAUCAAAAUGCGGGACUGGAAUGCCGGACUGUGCGAGGGACUACAGAAUGACCGACAUCUGGCUCUGAAGAGUGGCCACCUGUGCUGUCAAAGCAGUGACCUGACUGUUUGACUGCGCUGAUGAACGGGGUCUGGGUUCCCUCCGCCUGGCAUUCCCCAUCCCUCGACAAUAUGUCCCCGGUCUCCUCCCUAGAGUCUGAUCCAAUGUCUCCGUCAAGAUCUGAAACCCAGCAUCCUGUGGAGGAUCCACAGACUCGAUCGGAGUAUCGGGAGGAAGUUGGGAGGCAGACUUUUGAAGAACCAACUGGCUCCUCUCCACCAUCGUCGUCUGUUUAGCAUAACAUAAAAUAUAAAUUCAAACAUUCAUAUAAUAACCUUUAAAGUUGAAUGCGUAACAUAAGAAUUAAAAUUAAAUAAUACUUACAUGAAGGUACUCGGCCAAUUCAUUCCCAGGUCGAACAUAAACGUCGCCAAAGACGUCGAUCUCUGGGAAUUUGGACCCCCCCUAAAUUGAACAAAAGAAGAAAAAUAUUAGAACGAAAAAAUAAAUUAAGAAUAAUGAAAAAGUAAAAAUUAAAUAAAAAUUAUUUUAUUAUUACCUGACGCCGGGCAUCCAUCCUAUAGGAGAAGGGCCUGGAACCCGAAUGAUAGAGAAGAGUCUUCUUCUUCCUAUUGCCCUUAUUGACUUUGGCUUUAUUCUGUUAUACAAAAAAUAAAACGUAUUAGUUGAAAUUGAAAUUAAAUAUAAAAAUUAAAUAAACAUUAGUAAGAAAAUAAAAAUACAUAUAAAAAAUUACCACAAAAGCGGGCGCCUGAAAAUGAGCGCAGAGCCACGCCCAACUAUCCUCCCGCCCCUCAAGCUCUUUCGGGCAACCCUCUUGAAGAGCGACUUGCGGAUCAUCGAACGCCUCAAAAUUGUGGUGCAAGUCGCUCUUCCACUGCUUGUACCUCUCAGAGAAGAGUCUGUUGACGUACGCCAACGACUCUUCAUCAAGGUCCUCCAAGUUGUAGUUCGUCUGCAAUAAAUUAAUUACAUACAUUUAAAUAAUAUAAAUAUAACGUUUGAAAGAAAAAGAAUGAAAAGGCCUACAUACCGACAACUGGCCGCGAACCUCAGUCUUGGUCUCGUCAGGCAUCACCUUCCAAGACUUCCAUUGCAUAGGGCAAUAGCUCCGAAUGACAUGACCAAUGUCGUGGGCCAAGGAGCUAUGCAACUCCGCCGUCGGUGCAGCCCGAUGUCGCUCGUCGUAUCCGAUGUUGAUACGACUGUUGGUCACUCGGGUGACCUUCGCCGUCUUCAACUGCCGACACGGCCCUCGGGUGUUCUUCUUGGCUGCAAAGAAAGAUGACAUGAAUGUUAAAUAAAUAACAAAUUUAACAAUCAAAUACACACAAAAAAAAAAACAAGAAAUAAAAAAUAAAAUUAACUGGAGAAAAAAGAAAGCUAUACUUGGCUGUGACCCCGACGCAUCAGUGGAUGUGGUGUCGGUGGUGCUGGCGGGCCGAUGAUGCCGCCUGGCGCUAACAGGCUGCACCACUGAUGACGCUGAUGAGGCAGGCGCCUGGGACCCAGCAGGUCCAACUGCCAAGUGGUCCAUCAGUGCUGGCGCAGUAGUAGCAGAUGCUGGAGCAGUGGCAGCAGAUGUCGGCUGAGUCGGGGGCUCCGAACUCUGCGUGGUCGUCACCGCCCUACGACGUCUAAUUAGGUCUGACAUCUGCACAAUUUCAUUAUACACAUACAAAUUAAUAAAAUAUACGAAUAUUUGAAAACACAUACAAUUUUAUUCAGAUUAUUGACCUAGGGUUUGCGAGUUCGGAGUAUGCAGGACUGCGAUCCAUGAUUCGUCGAAUCGUAGACGAUCCAAGAAAUACAAGGUACAUCAUACGUGAGUUUGAGUUCGAUCCAACGGUCCGAACAUAACAACCCUGGAAAUCGCACAAUAGGUAAAAUCCAUUCGAGACGCAAACGGUAACCAAAUUCCAAUCCGAAAACACCUAUGCACUCGUGACAACUACAGGAUUGCACUAGGACCUAAUUCAGUGGCUACAGUAACCCACGCGCCGCCCCACGCACCGGCAGCGCGCGGGUGUCCAAAGCGAUACCAAUCGCCGGAAAAUUCUUAAAACUAAGGGCCAAGGUUCCUACCCUAGGUUCAAAACAUCAAUUGCCGCCACUUUUGUUCUUGGACAUACCCCGAAAAAUGGCCGGAAGUGAAAAUCAAAAUCCGGCCGAAACUUAGGGUUUCAAAUUAAGUGCCCUAGUGCAACAAAUUCAGAAAUCCUAUCCAACCAUCAGCUAAAGCAUGAAAAAUAGGAUAGAAACCAUACCUCAGGUGUCGGAAUUGGUCGCCGGAGGAGGGAGAACACGGCGGAGCAGAUUCGGUGAAAACCAAAGAAAUCGCAGCGGCUGGCUCGACGGUGACGGCGGGGGAGCUCCGGGGUACCACCAAUGUCGCGGGCGCGGUCCAAAUCCACCGGGGUAGGAGGCUGAGCUGACGGCGGGGAAGGAUUUUCAGAAAUCUGGGGAAGAAGGAGGCCAUCGCGUGGUUUCUGAAAUUUCAUUCGUUUUUGCGCGACGAAGUCAAGAUAACGUCGCGCAAGAAAUUUUAAAUGGCUAUUGCGCGACGAAAAAUAUGUGUGUUCCGUCGCGCAAUGUCAUUCAUCCGCCAAAAUUUGGUAAAAGGGUAGUUUUUACGAGACGCACAAAUGUGUAUUUCGUUGCGCAAUGUUGGCAGUCCACCAAAAUUUGGGAUUUAGGGUUUAGCGGGCGAGAUUGAAUUCUUGCGCGAUGCACUAAAGCAAUGUCGUCGCGCAAUGUUGGCAGUCCGCCAAAAUUUGGGAUCUAGGGUUUAGCGGGCGAGAUUGAAUUCUUGCGCGACGCACUAAAGCAAUGUCCUAGGGUUUAGCGGGAGAAAUUGAAAACUUGCGCGACGCCUGACAUUAUGUCGUCGCUCAAUGUUGCCAAUAGACUGAAUUUUUGCACGACGCAUACCAGGAGCGUCGCGCAAAAAUUCGCAAAAAAAAUGAUAUGCUAACCGUCCAAAGAGAAAGGGCUGGCUGAGAUUGCGCUACGUAUACGUACAGCGUGGCGUAAAACCUCGCCAAAAAUUUCCACUAAGUGUCCAAGGAGGAAGAGAGUGAAAUGUGAAAGUUCUGGCUGGUAUGGCGCGACGAAUUGAACUGUCUUCGUCACGCAAGACUGUUCCAUGUAGGCUAUCUGCGACCAAUUUAACGGCAACAUUUGUGUUUUAUUGUGGAGAGAAUGCGCGACGAGCACGAACAGCGUCGCGCAAAAACUGGCAAAAUUUUUUCACAAGUGUCCAGGGAGGAAAAGUGGAAGGUGAAAGUUCUGGCUGAUAUUGCGCGACGAAUAUGAGAAAAGUCGCGCAAGUUAGCCUUCUGUAAACCAGAAAACAUUUGUGACCAAGUGUUGAAGGAGGAAGCGCGACGACCGGUCUUGUAUUCGUCGCGCAACCCCGUCCUUGGCAGGCUUUGUGUGACCAAACACGUUUAUUCGUCGCGCAAACCCUGUACCCUAAACCCUAAACCCUAAACCCUAAACCGCAGAAACCCUAAACCUGAAACUAGUUUUCAUGAUCCAACCGGCAAACUUGUUUUUUUACACUUCGAGAUCAUAUAUGCCAAAAAUCGAAAAAAACAAACAUUAAGAGAUUGAGUAACAGGAUGAAACUUGUCGACGGUUGUAAAUGAAAAGUCAUGAUUUAACGGUUAUUUUAGCUCUGAUUUGUAUGAUUUUUUACAGCUACUUUUCUUUACCCUAUAUGAAUACAAUUAUUGAAUUUGAUCUUCAAUUUCAGAUGUUUACACUAGGGUGAUAUGACAUAAUGUUAUGUUAUAUUUAACGAACGUAUAAGUAAACUAUUUAUUGUUUGUGAAUAUAUGGUUGCUAUGGCAAACGCAUUCUACGAAAGUAGUUUCAGCAAUCCAGCCGUCAAACUUGUUUAUUUGUACUUCGAGAUCUUAGACCCCAAAAAUCGAAAAAAUAAAACAUUCAGAGAUCAAGUAACGGGACAAAACUUUUGAACGGUUAUAAAUGAAAACUCAUGAUUUAACGGUUAUUUUAACUCCGAUUUUGAUAAAUUUUUACACCUACACUCCAUGACCCUAUAUGAAUACAAU
rnacentral:lncRNA from 1 species